rnacentral:rRNA from 1 species
GACGAACGCUGGCGGCGUGCCUAAUACAUGCAAGUUGAGCGCUGAAGGUUGGUACUUGUACCCACUGGAUGAGCAGCGAACGGGUGAGUAACGCGUGGGGAAUCUGCCUUUGAGCGGGGGACAACAUUUGGAAACGAAUGCUAAUACCGCAUAAAAACUUUAAACACAAGUUUUAAGUUUGAAAGAUGCAAUUGCAUCACUCAAAGAUGAUCCCGCGUUGUAUUAGCUAGUUGGUGAGGUAAAGGCUCACCAAGGCGAUGAUACAUAGCCGACCUGAGAGGGUGAUCGGCCACAUUGGGACUGAGACACGGCCCAAACUCCUACGGGAGGCAGCAGUAGGGAAUCUUCGGCAAUGGACGAAAGUCUGACCGAGCAACGCCGCGUGAGUGAAGAAGGGUUUCGGAUCGUAAAACUCUGCUGGUAGAGAAGAACGUUGGUGAGAGUGGAAAGCUCAUCAAGUGACGGUAACUACCCAGAAAGGGACGGCUAACUACGUG